rnacentral:rRNA from 1 species
CCUACGGGCGGCUGCAGUGGGGAAUAUUGGACAAUGGGGGGAACCCUGAUCCAGCCAUGCCGCGUGUGUGAAGAAGGCCCUCGGGUUGUAAAGCACUUUCAGUGAGGAAGAACGCCUGGUGGUUAAUACCCAUCAGGAAAGACAUCACUCACAGAAGAAGCACCGGCUAACUCCGUGCCAGCAGCCGCGGUAAUACGGAGGGUGCGAGCGUUAAUCGGAAUUACUGGGCGUAAAGCGCGCGUAGGUGGCUUGAUAAGCCGGUUGUGAAAGCCCCGGGCUCAACCUGGGAACGGCAUCCGGAACUGGCAAGCUAGAGUGCAGGAGAGGAAGGUAGAAUUCCCGGUGUAGCGGUGAAAUGCGUAGAGAUCGGGAGGAAUACCAGUGGCGAAGGCGGCCUUCUGGACUGACACUGACACUGAGGUGCGAAAGCGUGGGUAGCAAACAGGAUUAGAUACCCUUGUAGUC